rnacentral:misc_RNA from 1 species
AGAAAUCAUAGCACCCCUGCACUGGAACAUAUCCAUAUACUGAUCACAGCCUUUAAAACUCUCUCAGAGAAGGCAUUUGGAUGACAAAAGGAUAAACCUAAGUGCUUAUAAACAAGGUUACUUAGAAUUUCAUGAUCCUGAACCGGAAAUCUCAUGCCAAGGGAGCCUGCAUUGUGAGAACAAUGGGGCUGUUCACUGUAUGCCUACCAUCUGUCCAUGUGAGAGUCCCACUCUUCACUUUUGAGCUCCCCGGAGCCAGCUUCACCGCCUUCGCCCUCACCCUUACAAGGAAGCUCAGCUUCUGCCCUGCACGCCUGAAAACCAGCUCACUUGGCUCCACCGUCACCGUUGCACCAUCUGGCGCACGCACUGUCGACCGGUAGAUGGCAGCUCCACUGCCUACAUUCGUCACCGUUCGAAUGAAGUGUGUUGACAUGCUCGGGCGACCGUCCUGCUGGAAAACCGUGGCGAGUGACGGAUAAUUAAGGUUGCCUGGAUGCCCAGCCUGUCUCGCCCCGUUGCAGUCAACCGGCCGCCUAGUGAUCGUCCGAAUGUUCUGCUGGCUAUAGUUCAGGUUACAUAAGAAGUAGACGUAGUCCAUAGCCGAGAGGUCGUAGACAAGCCCAGGAUUCAUUGCCCGCUGUGGAUUGACAUGUCCAGCUCCGAAAUCAAACACAUCCGACGAAUUCCCAG